rnacentral:snRNA from 1 species
GUGCUCACUUUGGCAGCACAAAUACUAAAACUGGAACAAUUCAGAGAAGGUUUGCACAGUCCCUGAACAAGGAUGACGCACAAAUUUGCGAAGCAUUCCUUUUUUUU